rnacentral:rRNA from 1 species
GAUGAACGCUAGCGGCAGGCUUAAUACAUGCAAGUCGAGGGGCAGCAUGAGUGUAGCAAUACAUUUGAUGGCGACCGGCAAACGGGUGCGGAACACGUACACGACCUUCCUAUAAGUGGGGAAUAGCCCAGAGAAAUUUGUAUUAAUACCCCGUAACAUAAUGAUGUGGAAUCACAUUAUUAUUAUAGCUACUGCGCUUAUUGAUGGGGGUGCGGCUGAUUAGAUAGUUGGCGGGGUAAGGGCCCACCAAGUCUACGAUCGGUAGCUGAUGUGAGGACAUGAUCAGCCACACGGGCACUAAGACACGGGCCCGACUCCUACGGGAGGCAGCAGUAAGGAAUAUUGGUCAAUGGACGCAAGUCUGAACCAGCCAUGCCGCGUGAAGGAUUAAGGUCCUCUGGAUUGUAAACUUCUUUUAUCUGGGACUAAAAAAGGCGAUUCUUCGUCACUUGACGGUACCAGAUGAAUAAGCACCGGCUAACUCCGUGCCAGCCGCCGCGGUAAAAC